rnacentral:rRNA from 1 species
GAAUCAACGCUGGCGGCGUGCCUAACACAUGCAAGUCGGACGUGAAAGGGGUUUCGGCCCUGAGUAGCGUGGCGGACGGGUGAGGAACGCGUGGGUGACCCUGCCCUGCAGAGGGGGAUAACCCUCCGAAAGGGGGGCUAAUACCGCAUGAGCCCGAGAGGGGAAAGACGGUGAGUCGCUGCGGGAGGGGCCUGCGUCCGAUUAGCUGGUUGGUGGGGUAAGAGCCCACCAAGGCGACGAUCGGUAGCCGGUCUGAGAGGACGGACGGCCACACUGGGACUGAGAUACGGCCCAGACUCCUACGGGAGGCAGCAGUGGGGAAUUUUGGGCAAUGGGCGAAAGCCUGACCCAGCAACGCCGCGUGGAGGAAGAAGGCCUUCGGGUUGUAAACUCCUGUCCCGAGGGACGAAGUAGGUGACGGUACCUUGGGAGGAAGCCCCGGCUAACUCCGUG